rnacentral:rRNA from 1 species
CUUGCUUCUCUUGAGAGCGGCGGACGGGUGAGUAAUGCCUAGGAAUCUGCCUGGUAGUGGGGGAUAACGUCCGGAAACGGACGCUAAUACCGCAUACGUCCUACGGGAGAAAGCAGGGGACCUUCGGGCCUUGCGCUAUCAGAUGAGCCUAGGUCGGAUUAGCUAGUUGGUGGGGUAAUGGCUCACCAAGGCGACGAUCCGUAACUGGUCUGAGAGGAUGAUCAGUCACACUGGAACUGAGACACGGUCCAGACUCCUACGGGAGGCAGCAGUGGGGAAUAUUGGACAAUGGGCGAAAGCCUGAUCCAGCCAUGCCGCGUGUGUGAAGAAGGUCUUCGGAUUGUAAAGCACUUUAAGUUGGGAGGAAGGGCAGUAAAUUAAUACUUUGCUGUUUUGACGUUACCGACAGAAUAAGCACCGGCUAACUCUGUGCCAGCAGCCGCGGUAAUACAGAGGGUGCAAGCGUUAAUCGGAAUUACUGGGCGUAAAGCGCGCGUAGGUGGUUCGUUAAGUUGGAUGUGAAAUCCCCGGGCUCAACCUGGGAACUGCAUUCAAAACUGACGAGCUAGAGUAUGGUAGAGGGUGGGUGGAAUUUCCUGUGUAGCGGUGAAAUGCGUAGAUAUAGGA